rnacentral:rRNA from 1 species
AAUGAACGUUGGCGGCGUGGAUUAGGCAUGCAAGUCGAGCGAGAACCCCGCAAGGGGGGACAGCGGCGAAAGGGACAGUAAUGUGUAGAUUAUCUGCCCUCAGGUCCGGGAUAGCUGCGGGAAACUGCAGGUAAUACCGGAUAACAUCUCCGGAUCAAAGGUGUGAUUCCGCCUGAGGAUGAGUCUGCAUCCUAUUAGCUAGUUGGUGGGGUAAUGGCCUACCAAGGCAUUGAUGGGUAGCAGGUGUGAGAGCACGACCUGCGUCAUUGGGACUGAGACACUGCCCAGACAACUACGGGUGGCUGCAGUCGAGAAUCCUCGGCAAUGGGCGCAAGGCUGACCGAGCGACGCCGCGGGUGGGAUGAAGGCCUUCGGGUUGUAAACCACUGUCAGAGGGGAUGAAAUGCAGGUGGGUUCUCCCAUCUGUUUGACAUAGCCUCAGAGGAAGGACGGGCUAAGUUCGUG